rnacentral:rRNA from 1 species
AACGCGUAUGCAAUCUACCUUGUACAGAGGGAUAGCCCAGAGAAAUUUGGAUUAAUACCUCAUAGUAUCUUCGGAAGGCAUCUUCUGAUUAUUAAAGUUCCAACGGUACAAGAUGAGCAUGCGUCCCAUUAGCUAGAUGGUAAGGUAACGGCUUACCAUGGCAACGAUGGGUAGGGGUCCUGAGAGGGAGAUCCCCCACACUGGUACUGAGACACGGACCAGACUCCUACGGGAGGUAGCAGUGAGGAAUAUUGGUCAAUGGAGGCAACUCUGAACCAGCCAUGCCGCGUGCAGGAAGACGGUCCUAUGGAUUGUAAACUGCUUUUAUACAGGAAGAAACACUGCUACGUGUAGCAGCUUGACGGUACUGUAGGAAUAAGCAUCGGCUAACUCCGUGCCAGCAGCCGCGGUAAUACGGAGGAUGCGAGCGUUAUCCGGAAUCAUUGGGUUUAAAGGGUCCGUAGGCGGCCUUAUAAGUCAGUGGUGAAAUCUCCUAGCUCAACUAGGAAACUGCCAUUGAUACUGUAGGGCUUGAAUUAUUGGGAAGUAACUAGAAUAUGUAGUGUAGCGGUGAAAUGCUUAGAUAUUACAUGG